rnacentral:rRNA from 1 species
GAAGCAGCUAGAGAUAGCUGUGUCCUUCGGGACAAGGAGACAGGUGGUGCAUGGUUGUCGUCAGCUCGUGUCGUGAGAUGUGGGUUAAGUCCCGCAACGAGCGCAACCCCUACGCUUAGUUGCUAACAGGUGAAGCUGAGCACUCUAGCGAACUGCCGUUGACAAAACGGAGGAAGGUGGGAUGACGUCAAAUCAUCAUGCCCCUUAUGUUCUGGGCUACACACGUGCUACAAUGGCCGGUACAGACGGAGGCGAAGCCGCGAGGCGGAGCAAACCGAAAAAGCCGGUCUCAGUUCGGAUUGCAGGCUGCAAUUCGCCUGCCAUGAAGUCGGAAUCGCUAGUAAUCGCAGGUCAGCAUACUGCGGUGAAUACGUUCCCGGGCCUU